UAUACAUGCAAGUCGAACGCGUCUUGGUUAAAGAUUUUAGGUGCUUGCAUUUAAAUGAUUUAACAUUGAGACGAGUGGCGAACUGGUGAGUAACACGUGGGUAACCUGCCCUUGAAGUAGGGGAUAACACUUGGAAACAGGUGCUAAUACCGUAUAACAACUCAAACCACAUGGUUUGAGUUUGAAAGAUGGCUUCGGCUGUCACUUUAGGAUGGACCCGCGGCGUAUUAGCUUGUUGGUGAGGUAACGGCUCACCAAGGCAAUGAUACGUAGCCGACCUGAGAGGGUAAUCGGCCACAUUGGGACUGAGACACGGCCCAAACUCCUACGGGAGGCAGCAGUAGGGAAUCUUCCACAAUGGACGAAAGUCUGAUGGAGCAACGCCGCGUGAGUGAUGAAGGGUUUCGGCUCGUAAAACUCUGUUGUUGGAGAAGAACAGGUGUGAGAGUAACUGUUCACAUCUUGACGGUAUCCAACCAGAAAGCCACGGCUAACUACGUGCCAGCAGCCGCGGUAAUACGUAGGUGGCAAGCGUUGUCCGGAUUUAUUGGGCGUAAAGCGAGCGCAGGCGGUUUUUUAGGUCUGAUGUGAAAGCCUUCGGCUUAACCGGAGAAGUGCAUCGGAAACCGGGAGACUUGAGUGCAGAAGAGGACAGUGGAACUCCAUGUGUAGCGGUGAAAUGCGUAGAUAUAUGGAAGAACACCAGUGGCGAAGGCGGCUGUCUGGUCUGUAACUGACGCUGAGGCUCGAAAGCAUGGGUAGCGAACAGGAUUAGAUAC
rnacentral:rRNA from 1 species